UACGUAGGGGGCUAGCGUUGUCCGGAUUUAUUGGGCGUAAAGAGCGUGUAGGCGGCCAGGUAGGUCAGCUGUGAAAACUCGAGGCUCAACCUCGAGACGCCGGUUGAAACCAUCUGGCUAGAGUCCGGAAGAGGAGAGUGGAAUUCCUGGUGUAGCGGUGAAAUGCGCAGAUAUCAGGAAGAACACCCGUGGCUAAGGCGGCUCUCUGGGACGGUACUGACGCUGAGACGCGAAAGCGUGGGGAGCGAACAGG
rnacentral:rRNA from 1 species